rnacentral:rRNA from 1 species
UACGAAGGGGGCUAGCGUUGCUCGGAAUCACUGGGCGUAAAGGGUGCGUAGGCGGGUCUUUAAGUCAGAGGUGAAAUCCUGGAGCUCAACUCCAGAACUGCCUUUGAUACUGAGGAUCUUGAGUACGGGAGAGGUGAGUGGAACUGCGAGUGUAGAGGUGAAAUUCGUAGAUAUCAGGAGGAACACCGGUGGCGAAGGCGGCUUUCUGGACGACAACUGACGCUGAGACGCGAAAGCGUGGGGAGCAAACAGG